ACCCUCAGCAGUGGGUUCAGAGCCGCUCCCCCGCCCCCCAGGAAGAAGAGGAGGACAAGUGGCUGCUGAGGAAGAGGAGCCAGGCUCAGGCGGUGUGUGAGCUGUUCUCCUGUAUGAAGCUGGGAUCAGACGCUCAGCAGUGGCUGCAGAUGUGAUGCGGUGCUUCUUCUUCACGUCCUCGCUGAUCAGCCUCAUGUGACCGCGCUCUCUUCCAAUCAGGAUCCAGCGUCAUGUGAUCAGAUGUUUAGGACUCGUUAUUCUUCUGUUGAUUGGUAAACAACGCUUCAUCCUAAUGAACGUAAACACGUCCCAGAAUGCAUUAGGGGGCGGGGCCUGUGAUUAAAGGGGUUUUAUAUAAAGUGUGCGUGGUUAUAAUUAUAUAAACAGUGGGCGUGGCUACAAUUAUAUAUAAAGUGGGCGUGGCUAUGAUUAUAUAUACAGUGGGCGUGGCUAUAAUUAUAUAUACAUUAGGUUUUAUUUUAAUGGAUCUGAUUUUAACAAAUGUGUUUUUCUGAUUUGAUCUCUUCAUGAAACCCUUCCUGUUUCCUGCAGUCUGUCCGGUCACAUGACUCUGCAGUCAGCAGUGAUUGGUGCUUUUUAUUGAAGCUUUAUGACAUACAGAGCUGUGAUGUCAUCAGUACUCUUCCUGCUGUGAUUCUCUACAGUAUAAAUAAAUCAUGACAUCAUCAAUG